rnacentral:rRNA from 1 species
AGUGAACGCUGGCGGUAGGCCUAGCACAUGCAAGUCGAACGGCAGCACAGUAAGAGCUUGCUCUUACGGGUGGCGAGUGGCGGACGGGUGAGGAAUACAUCGGAAUCUACUUUUUCGUGGGGGAUAACGUAGGGAAACUUACGCUAAUACCGCAUACGACCUACGGGUGAAAGCAGGGGAUCUUCGGACCUUGCGCGAUUGAAUGAGCCGAUGUCGGAUUAGCUAGUUGGCGGGGUAAAGGCCCACCAAGGCGACGAUCCGUAGCUGGUCUGAGAGGAUGAUCAGCCACACUGGAACUGAGACACGGUCCAGACUCCUACGGGAGGCAGCAGUGGGGAAUAUUGGACAAUGGGCGCAAGCCUGAUCCAGCCAUACCGCGUGGGUGAAGAAGGCCUUCGGGUUGUAAAGCCCUUUUGUUGGGAAAGAAAAGCAGCAGGUUAAUACCCCGCUGUCCUGACGGUACCCAAAGAAUAAGCACCGGCUAACUUCGUG